UACGUAGGGUGCAAGCGUUGUUCGGAAUCAUUGGGCGUAAAGCGCACGUAGGCGGUCUGUUAUGUCGGAUGUGAAAGCCCUCGGCUCAACUGAGGAAGUGCAUCCGAAACUGGCAGGCUAGAGUACUAAAGAGGGUCGCGGAAUUCCCGGUGUAGAGGUGAAAUGCGUAGAGAUCGGGAGGAACACCAGUGGCGAAGGCGGCUUGCUGGGCCGGACCUGACGCUGAGACGCGAAGGCGUGGGGAGCGAACGGG
rnacentral:rRNA from 1 species